rnacentral:rRNA from 1 species
UGGCUUAGAGUUUGAUCCUGGCUCAGAAUCAACGCUGGCGGCGCGCUUAACACAUGCAAGUCGAACGAGAAAGGGGAGCAAUCCCUGAGUACAGUGGCGUACGGGUGAGUAACACGUGGGUAAUCUACCUCUGGGUGGGGAAUAACCCUGGGAAACCGGGGCUAAUACCGCAUAACACUGAAGAGUCAAAGGCGCAAGUCGCCUGGAGAGGAGCCCGCGGCUGAUUAGCUAGUUGGUGAGGUAAAAGCUCACCAAGGCAAUGAUCGGUAGCCGGCCUGAGAGGGCACACGGCCACACUGGCACUGAAACACGGGCCAGACUCCUACGGGAGGCAGCAGUGGGGAAUCUUGCACAAUGGGGGCAACCCUGAUGCAGCGACGCCGCGUGAGUGAUGAAGCCCUUCGGGGUGUAAAGCUCUUUCGGCAGGGAC